rnacentral:rRNA from 1 species
AACGAACGCUGGCGGCAUGCCUAACACAUGCAAGUCGAACGAUCCCUUCGGGGAUAGUGGCGCACGGGUGCGUAACGCGUGGGAAUCUGCCCUCAGGUACGGAAUAACUCAGGGAAACUUGAGCUAAUACCGUAUAAUGACUUCGGUCCAAAGAUUUAUCGCCUGGGGAUGAGCCCGCGUCGGAUUAGCUAGUUGGUGAGGUAAAAGCUCACCAAGGCGACGAUCCGUAGCUGGUCUGAGAGGAUGAUCAGCCACACUGGGACUGAGACACGGCCCAGACUCCUACGGGAGGCAGCAGUGGGGAAUAUUGGACAAUGGGCGCAAGCCUGAUCCAGCAAUGCCGCGUGAGUGAUGAAGGCCUUAGGGUUGUAAAGCUCUUUUACCCGGGAAGAUAAUGACUGUACCGGGAGAAUAAGCCCCGGCUAACUCCGUGCCAGCAGCCGCGGUAAUACGGAGGGGGCGUAGCGUUGUUCGGAAUUACUGGGCGUAAAGCGCACGUA